rnacentral:rRNA from 1 species
CUACGGGGUGCAGCAGUGAGGAAUAUUGCACAAUGGGGGGAACCCUGAUGCAGCAGCGCCGCGUGGAGGAUGACGCAUUUCGGUGUGUAAACUCCUUUUAUAUGUCAAGAAAAUGACGGUAGCAUAUGAAUAAGCACCGGCUAACUCCGUGCCAGCAGCCGCGGUAAUACGGAGGGUGCAAGCGUUACUCGGAAUCACUGGGCGUAAAGGACGCGUAGGCGGGUUGGAAAGUCAGGUGUGAAAUCCUACAGCUUAACUGUAGAACUGCACUUGAAACUUCUAAUCUAGAGUAUGGGAGGGGGAGAUGGAAUUAGUGGUGUAGGGGUAAAAUCCGUAGAUAUCACUAGGAAUACCUAAAGCGAAGGCGAUCUCCUGGAACAUUACUGACGUUAAGGCGUGAAAGCGUGGGGAGCAAACAGGAUUAGAUACCCUCGUAGUC